rnacentral:rRNA from 1 species
UACGUAGGGCGCAAGCGUUGUCCGGAAUUAUUGGGCGUAAAGAGCUCGUAGGUGGUGUGUCGCGUCUGCCGUGAAAGUCCGGGGGCUCAACUCCGGAUCUGCGGUGGGUACGGGCAGACUAGAGUGAUGUAGGGGAGACUGGAAUUCCUGGUGUAGCGGUGAAAUGCGCAGAUAUCAGGAGGAACACCGAUGGCGAAGGCAGGUCUCUGGGCAUUAACUGACGCUGAGGAGCGAAAGCAUGGGGGAGCGAACAGG